UACGUAGGGAGCAAGCGUUGUCCGGAAUCAUUGGGCGUAAAGCGCGCGUAGGCGGCCCGGUAAGUCCGCUCUGAAAGUCCAGGGCUUAACCCUGGAAAGCGGGUGGAUACUGCCGGGCUAGAAUCCGGAAGAGGCGAGUGGAAUUCCUGGCGUAGCGGUGGAAUGCGCAGAUAUCAGGAGGAACACCAAUAGCGAAGGCAGCUCGCUGGGACGGUAUUGACGCUAAGGCGCGAAAGCGUGGGGAGCAAACAGG
rnacentral:rRNA from 1 species